CUAGUAAGAUGCCCGUGCUACGCUACGGGAUCAAAAAAGAUAAGGUGGACCUAAGUUAUAGUCAGGAACUCAUACAUUGAUUAAAGUAGUGAUAUAUUAUUAUUGAUAAAUAGACAUCGAGCACAAUCAAACAUAUGUUUUUUAAUCGAUGAACCCCUUCGUCAUGAAGCCAAACUCUUUAUUGUCCAUCUACAUCUCGUAGGAAGACCUUCUCCCUACACAACUCUCUAAUUGCUCGCUCUAUCCUAUAUCAAGGGGAGAGCAUGCGGCAAAUAUAAAAUUCGUCUACACACGUAGCAACUUACACACGUAGCAACUGUGACAACAUUCACCAGCUUUAUCUCUCCAUUUGCCUGUCUUUGGCUUCUGUUUGCUUAACAUGGACUACAACUCCAGCCCGCACACAAUUAUCUGCUAGAAAUGGUAAAGACAUUGAGCACCUCACAAACAUAUCACAUCCAGUAACAAGCCACGAUAACUCACAUGAGAAAAGAGAAAACAAUAAAAUAAAACACUUGGUGCAUAACUUGCAUACAUGAGUACAUACAAGUACAACCAAAAUAAUCGGGCUCCAUAAGCAAGAUUACUAUGGCAAAAUGAUGUGCCAUGUGCCAGCAUCCUUCGAAUAGUGGCUUCGUCAAAUGCAAGCCCUGUGAACUCCUCUUUAGCUGUUUGCUCAAAACAUUUAUGCCAACCAUAUUAGUUUUGGGCCUCUCACAUCAUCCAUCUGCUCACCUAAAAAGAAUAAAGGAUAUUAGACAAUCAAUACAGCAUACGUAACAGUCAGGUAUAUUCAGGGAAAGGAACAAAUAUUAGCCUGUAGAUGGUUUGUAGUAUAUUUAGUCAAGGAAAAAACAAUGAAUAACACUUGCAAUACAUUUUGUACCAAGCAAAGGAACAAAAUGUACAGUAAAACAUGCUUUUGAAUCAUGUGUAUAUAUAGAAGGGGCGAAUGCACAUGCACAUAUUAUGCAUACAAAAACAUCAGUACUGGCCCUCUUUUCACUUUCUUGCAUCAACCAGGUUUCCACACAUACACAAAAAAAAAGAUGCCGAUAAUAGACAGCAAGGAAAUAAAUAUUCGAGGUGUGAAUUGAAAUUUUUGAUGUGGAGCUACCAAGCAAAUGAGGGGCGUCGAUGAAAAACGGCCUGCUGUAGGUGUCAUCCAAAAUUAUUUGAACAGUGGAAGUAAUAAAGAAAACUACCAAAAACAAUUUGAAUACAUGUAUAAUAUUUUCUGCAAAAAAUAUCAUGAACGCUAAUGCAAGCAUCUUAGUUGUUUUUCUUAAAGUCCUCUACACAAACUUCAGAACCAUAAUAGCUGGCAAGCAAUUUUAGAUGAUUGAGCCUAGUAAUCUAGAUAGAUUGAAUUUCUACAGCCAUCGAAUUGUACUCGAGUGAUUCAUACCUUGAACUACACGCUGAGAACUUCUUUGUAGACUAUGUUCUUUGUAAAAUUUGCAUUGGAGUUGGUUUGGCCUUCCUUUUGCUUUUCUGGGACAGUAAGAAUCUUCAUAUUACUUCUUGAUAUAGCUCUAGAAAGAGCAACAUAGAGUUGCCCGUGUGAAAAUACCGGUUCAGGGAGGUAUACACCAACAUUUGGUAUAGUUUGUCCCUGUGCCUUGUUAAUGGUCAUAGCAAAGCUAAGCCUGACUGGAAACUGCUUCCUCUUGAACCUAAAUGGAAACAUCUCAUCAUCUGAUGGGCAAAGAGGAAUUCGAGGAAGGAACACCCUCUUACCGGCAUGCUGGCCCAGCACAAUCUCAGCAUCAAUUGCAUUCCUCAUGAACCCUCGGACAAUCAGCCUCGUCCCGUUGCACAACCCACUCGCUGGGUCAAUGUUCCGUAACAAUAUAAUAGGACAAUUAAUCUUCAACUUGAGGAUAUGGGGAGGUAGACCAUUAGGUGUCAAUGAAUUCAAGAAUUCUGCAGGGUAGUAGUUGUGUGGAUCAUCCUCCGCGCGAUCAAAACUAUAGUAUAUCAUCUCCUCCCCAGGAAAUCUCUCAAUCAUCCUCAUAUUGAUUUUGUCAACUUACUCAUUCCGAGUUGAUAGAAUUGCUCGGGACGUUAUGUAGUUUGGAUCCAAGAGGUUUUCAUCUAGCGUCAUCGGGAAAACACUUUCAAUAAGCUUGUCAAUAUCAGAGGCAACGCCGGUAUAUGGUACACAAAUCUCAUCUGGGAAUCGUAUGUAACCAUCAUCCAUAGUAUCUUCGGUGCCAUUCCCAACACGCAGAAGAUAAUCAGCAAACCAUGGAUCACUUUGAGCCCUCAUAUUACGGACAAGUCUUAUAUGUCUCAUACUCUCCCAAAGGUAAGACUUGCGUAGCGUCGCGUCAAUUAUUUGUGACCUUGUUCCCUUGCGAACAACAGGAAGCACUUGUCUGAAAUCUCCCCCAAACACGACAGUCUUUCCGCCAAAUGGCAGGUCAGGUUGAGCCAUGAUGUCCCUCAUGCUAUUAUCAAGGGCCUCGACUGCCUGUCUCCUUGUCAUGGAGGCCUCAUCCCAAAUUAUGAGGGAGGCGCUCAUAAGAAGCUUAGCUGUCCCACUUUGCUUGGUGAAGCUGCAAACUCCACCAUCUUCAAUGUUCAAUGGUAUUUUAAACCUUGAGUGUGCAGUCCUCCCGCCGGGCAAGAUGGAUGCAGCAACGCCUGAUGUCGCUGUUGCAAUAGCUAUUUUACCCUCACCACGUACUUUUGCAAGUAGUGCUUUGUAUAGAUAAGUCUUUCCAGUGCCUUCUGGUCCAUCAACAAAGAACACACCUCCUUGGCCACUAUUGAUUGUUGCAAGUAUCUCAUCAUAUGCAUAUCUCUGUUCUGGGUUUAGGAAAGAUGAAAAGCCAAGGUGUUCUGGGUUCACCCCUAUCGUCGACUCCUCUGUGAUCUCCCUAGCCUCGUUAUUUGAGCCAUCAUACGACUCAUCAAUUUCUGGAAGAGGGAAUGAUGAUAUGUCCUUCCCCAUCGAUUCAAGCAUACUUUUUAUAUCUAACAAAGCCAUCUGCUCAACUGCAUGAGGGGACAUGUGGUUUAGUCGAUAGUCUUCUGUCAUAGCUUCCAAGUGCCUGUCCCAUAGACCACGCACAUUACUGGGCUCACAAAAGACCAAUAUAGUGGCAAAUAGCCUUCAAAGGGAAGAUGGCAUCUGAAAAACCUCAGCUUCAUUAAGACACUCGUCAAUAGUAUUAUCUGACUCGAUAAGACCCCUCCUUUCAACAGCUUCACGAAAUGUCGGGAAAACAAUACCAUCCAUUGUCCUUAGGUCUUGGAAAGAUGUAGCACCUGUGACAUGGUUUAGAAGCACUCUAAGAUAAUACCUCUCCCCUUCGGCUGGAUGAGCAGAUACAAUUCUCCCGAUCUGUGUGCGUUCAUCCCUCCUUUUCCAAUACUUUCCACCCGAGAUCCAAAUAAAAGAUGCCGGAAAAUCCUUAUAUAAAAUUCCCCGGGCCAACUCAUACUUCUUGUUUGCUUCAAAAUACUCGGUUAGCAUGGUCUUGGAAGCUCCUUCCUGGGAGAGGACAUCAUUCAGAUUUGCGCCCGCCGGGAAUGACACCAUGUGCAUAUUAGGGAGGUGGAGUUGUAGCUGCCUAACAGAAGGAAAUAUCUCACUAAGGUCAAAACCAUAGAUCCUUCAUAAUGCUUCUGGUGGUGUAACCCAUCUGGAAUCUCUGUAUUUCUUUAUUUCAUCAAUGUUUCCGUCACUAUCCACCGCGUCGAUAGAAACAGAUGCUCGAUCAUGCCCCUUAUAUAUGUAUUUAAAGAGGUACUUCACAGCUUUUAUGCUUGAGCAAACCUCAACAUUGAUGUGGCAGUUAUACCUUCUUAGUAGGUAAGGAUUGUAUGGAACAACCCACCUAUUGUCUAAAUCUUCACCCCGUACCUUCGCACGACGUCCAUCAUCUCUCCUCCGGUAUAUGGGAUAUGAGUCCUUUCCCUGAAGGGUUGACGCAUUAAAUGGUUGUGGAUAGUAGUUCUUGCAGCUACCAUUUUGCAUGCACACGUUCUUGGGGUUGAGGACUCCACAAGGGCCAUGCAUCAUGUGCUUGACGACCAUUUUGUACAACUCUGGGUACUUGGAUUUGUCUGGCAAUUCAGCAGAUAUUAGACAGUCAUAUUGCUCUGGGCAAGUUAGCUUGUACCUCCCCUUCAUGAUUAGGAGGAAAUGAGCAUGUGGUAGACCUCUUUUCUGAAACUCAACGACAUACACAUAUGUUGCUACCUUACCGAGCAUGUGCUUCUUAAAAAGUUGUAUCUUGAGGUCUUCCAACUUUGCUCGAAAUACUCGUACGAUAAGAUCAGGGCGAUCCUAUGGGGUUUGUCCAGGCUCUAGCUCACUAAUUAUCUCAUCCCAAUUUGGAUUGCAAGUCAUGGUUAAAAAUAUAUCUGGUUUCCCAUACUUUUGCACCAAGGCCAUGGCAUCAAGAUACCUUCGUCUCCUAUCUCUUUUUCCCCCAAUAAAUGAUGUAGGAAGUAUAGUCCAUUUGCCCACUUCAUCCGCACGGUUUUCCCCAGCUUGAAGGCUAUCAACAACACCUUGGUAUAGAUUAGCACGUAUUUGUUUCUGGUGAUUUCUGAUAUAGUCCAAUCUUGAGCUUUCAACCUUGAUGUACAUAUCAACCACAUACUGUUGGAACAGUCGUUUACCGUAUAGCAUGGUGUUAAAUACACCACGACGUAUUUGAAACUUGUAGCAAUAGUAGUCUCUAACAAAUACGCAUAAUCGACUAUUUGUAUAUGUACCUAUGGAAAUGAGAGGUAACAAGAGGAAAUAUUAAGAAAAGUAAGUACAAUGAGGAUAAACAAAAUGAACACAUGCUAUUUCCGUUAUAUGAAUUACCUAGACUAUGUCGACCACUGCGACGAGAUUGAAGUAUCUCAUUCAAGUUGACGCCAUUCUUUGGGAUUUCGGGAUGCCAACCAAUCUCCCCUCUUGGAAAGAAUAAAGGGUAAGACAACGGAUCAUAUCAUCCAUAAUAUGGCUGGAUGCUAUAUCUCUUGUUGUCGUUACCAAACAGUACUAUGCUACGAUCAAAGUGCUUACAUAGUUCAUUACCCUCAACCCAAAUAGCCGCAACCUCCGAUGAUAUAGGCAAGUUAUAUCUCCGUUGGUCCAACCUCAUGUCGGUGUUUAGUUCAAUACGGUAUUCCUCAAGGUCAUCGACUCCACCUAGAUUCCUGAAUGUCUCAGAAUAAGGAUUAUCCUUGAGGAUGUCGACAAGCUUACGAAUGACAUCUCGGUCUAGGUUUGGGGAGCGCCGAAACCUAUGUUGUAAACUGGGAUCAUCAUCAUAGAAGUAGAGCUCCAAAUGCUUAGGUCCAUCUUGAGUUGGACCAAAUGAGAAGACGUUGUGGUAAAUCUGACCGUGAGCUCGGAACGUAUACACUCCUGAACUCAUGUUUGUGUAUUUAUUGUCCAGACUGACUCCAAGGGUGGUGAAUGAGAAGUGUCCAUUAAAGUACCGAAUGUUCUCCCUAAAAUGCACGGCAUUGGGAUCUGAACUUGUGUAUAACAUUUGAAGUUCCAAGGGAGGUUCUGAGUGUGCUAGGUUAAUCUUUCUGGACCGACAACAAAAUCCACUUGUUUCAUACUGGAACCUCUUUGCACCACAGUGAUUGCAAUCAGGUUUUGGUGUCAACAUGUGAGUACUUACUGGUAUUGUGGUAGACACGAUCAUAUAGGUCAGGGACAAUGGUGUCUGUUGUAAAGGCAUCUACCAAGUCUUCAUCGUCACCUACAUAUAAUGAGAUGAAUGGCCUUAUAUAGGUCUUGCUUUUUUUUGUAUGUAGAGAAAUAAGGUAUCCAUGGCAUUGGCAAUACCUCUCCCAGCAAAUGUGAAGUACUCAUCGUCUUGUUCUUCAGACAUGUGAGAAUCAUCAUCAUCGGCGACAAAGCUUUCUAUUGGGGAAUCUGAAUAUACGAAACCAUCAUGGGGUGAUGAUGGAUUGUCCACUGAAGUAGAUGUUGGACAUUGCACUGAUGUGAGUUCCAUGUGCUGGAUAGUAUCAUCAUCUCCUAAAUGUAAUUUGAAGAUCGAUGUUGUUACAUAUAUACAGAUGUGUGUGAGAAUUACCUUGAAUUGUAGCAGAAGUUUGUGCGAGCGUACCUGGGUGGCUAAAGACAUAAGAACUUGAUGAUGGAUGUCCCAUCAAUGAACCUGUAGGGCACUGUAGUGCAACAGAAUCCCUGCAGAGGGCAUCUCGUUUAGAUGCGUAGCUUGCAUUACGUUGAGCUAGGAGUGCUUGCCGCUCUUCAGGUGGUAGGCUUUGCCUACGUGCUCGCCGGCGUGCAUUUAUUUCUUGCCUCUCAUCUAUUGUCAAACUUUGCCUACGUGCUCGUUGGCUUGCAUUCCUCUCAUCAAGUGCCAUUCGUUGUCUUUUCUCUCUUCUUUGUGCAUUAAUCUUUUCCCUCUCAGCAGGUGUUAAAUUUUGCCGACGUGCUCUAACACGUUCUCGCCUUGCUUGGAUUUGUUCUGGUGUACGGCUAGCAUAUCUUAUUGCUUCAC
rnacentral:lncRNA from 1 species